ensembl:lncRNA
GUAACUUCAAGAACAACCAGCUGCACUUCCUUAGUGAGCAACAGGAGACCCAGAAAAAAAGAGCAGUCCGAUCCACAGGAGUCUCUUGAUACCCCACAUAGCGAGACAGAGAGUCUGUCUAGUCUGGACAGCUUAGAGAAUGGAGACACUCAGAAGACCCAUGACACUACACCAGUUUGUUGCUCCCACCAGAGCACCACCUGUGCCCAGUCUUUCUUCCUCUCUGUGAAUCCCCCUAAGCUCCAAGACCCCAAAAGCUCUACAUCACCAUUCAGACAGUCCAACAACGCAUGUUCACCAUCUCACCCUUCCUGUUUCAUAGCAAAGAGUUUCCUGGAGGAGUUCGUAAAAAAUGGAAAACAAACUCAGUAUCAACUCACCCUCA